rfam:Ictidomys tridecemlineatus contig016370, whole genome shotgun sequence.
GGGGCUGUAGCUCAGCGGUAGAGCACUUGUCUCUCAUGUGUGAGGUACAGGGUUCGAUCCUCAGCACCA